CAUGCGACUGGCCACCCCCAGUCUGCACCUCCCCCGCCCUGGCCCCGCUGUGCACUGCUAGGGGAUAGCAAACUGGGGGGGGAGCUGUUCUGCUUCCCACUCCCAUCCUGCUCGCGUCCCGGUGCCAAGAGGCGCAGGAUCCGUGUGGGCAUGCAGAGCGAGCAGCGCACGGAGCAGGGCCUGGGUGCGGCACUGGCAGCUCUCCCAGCCCUAUGACCCAAGGAGUAGUUACAUUGCAGCACAGCCACCUGUGCAGCUGCCUAUUUGAAUAGCUUACAGAUAAGUGGGAGGGAAACCACUGCAGCCCGCAAAGCAGUAGAAAAACCAUCCAAGCCAGUUGGAAACCGGCUAGGGAGCAACCCUAUUACAUAUAUAUCAUUACUUAUGGAUGCCAAUGCUUUGAAAGCACCUUCCAUCUGAAGAACUCAAAGUACUUCCCAAACAACCAGAAAUGAAGGUAAGCCAGUGUGCCCUGGUUCAGCACUCCAGCAACAAGAAGCCGGCUUCUGAGCGCACAGCUACAGCUGCUUCCAGACAGGCUGGGUUCCUGGGGCUCUCCUGCAGGCUGCCUUGCUAAGCAGCAGAUAGGUACCUUGAUGGCCCCCCUACUUUUGCUGGAGAUAUCAGAGUACAGUAAUGGGGAUCGUGCAGCUUGAAAAUACCAGUCAGGAGACAGCAAGACAGGUGUCAGUUCAAGAGAGAUAAUGGCCAGCUCCUUUGCUGUUACUGGUAAAUCCUCUUAAGUACAAACAUUGCAGAUGCAAAUACAAUUUUCAAGCUGCCUGUAUUUUAUAAGGUUCACUAAGAACUUUUGCCUAAUGUUCUGUGUUACCUGUUCCUCCGAAAGACUUUGGUGUUCACACAUGGGGAAUUGUUCUGGAAGCUUGCCUCAAAUGGCCCACUUCAGAGUCACAUUUUCCCAAAGGCUUGGAUUUCCUCCCACCUCAAUACGUCAUUUCUCCACUUCACAUACAUAUACCAUAGAAAAAGGAGCCAUCAUGCUAACAUCUCUCAUUUUAAUGAGCCCAGCUCAGAAUUUUGCUAUCUUUUCAAGGGAAAGAAUGUUGUAAACACCUUACCUAAACAGAGAGGAGGGUGAUCACAUAAGCAAGUUGGUUGCCAAAUGCUGCUUCAUGCUUAAGGACUUACUUUAAGUAACUGGACUAGGUAAGUUCCUGGGAGAUAACUAUGUUCUGGAAAAUACUAGUUUAAAACACAGAAUUUUUGAUGAUUAUGUUAUGUUUGCUUAACCUAUCUCAGGGGUGUGAACCUGAAUUCCCCUUCCUCCCAAUUCUGGGGAUGAAGGGAAGAAUAGCAUGCGAAAGCUAAAAAUCUUUCCUUUUGUAGCACUCUUCAGAGAGUAUUAUAAAGAUUGAUGUUGAUAAAGUGUUUUGAGGUUAAAAAUCCCUAUCUAAGUUCUAAAUAUCACUAAUUGUUGCCUCCAUAAUGAUGAUUAUCUAUUAAAAAAGAGGCUAUACGUUUAAAAAUGAUACUUUCAUAAUGCUUUACAUGUUGACAUCAUAAGCCCUGUCAUCAUGUUCUCUUGCAUUUGUACCAUUAACCCUUGUUUUGUAUUCAUCUGCUUCACACUAUAAAACCAGUGUUUGUCAGGUGAUCUUUUAUGAUGUCUCACAAAAAUAUAUGUAUCACAAUAAAAGGUUAUGCGCUUCAGAUGAGGUUCUUUUAUUUUUUUUCU